CUUUGUACUGAAAGAUCCCUGAAGGGAGACCCUUACUCAAGUCUCGGGAAGUCUUGGGCCCCAGACACAGAGAGACCC
rnacentral:pre_miRNA from 14 species